rnacentral:lncRNA from 1 species
AACAAACCUGCAGUCCAUGGAUUUUUCAUUAGACAGCUGCUUGACCUCAUGUGGAGAUUUGAUACCUUUAGCUAGCAAGAUCGACAACGACACCUUUGAACUCAGAUGGUGCAAAGACCUGAAAGAGAUUCGAAAGAAAGAAGUUGAUGCCUGUGAUUUAGCAAUGAGUGUUGGAGUUCAGGGAGAAAAAUUGAAUGGCAACAGAAUCUACCCGGGAGAAGAAUUUAGAAACACCAAAAGAAGAGACUCAGUUAAACCCCAGAAUGAGGAAAUAGCACAAGGAUUUCAGCUCCAUGAAAAUAAUGAUCCUGCAUC